GCUUCGAUGGCGCAGUCGGUAGCGCGUGAGUCUCAUAAUCUCGAGGUCGUGAGUUCAAGCCUCACUCGGAGCA